GAUGAACGCUGGCGGCGUGCCUAAUACAUGCAAGUCGAGCGAACGGACGAGAAGCUUGCUUUUCUGAUGUUAGCGGCGGACGGGUGAGUAACACGUGGAUAACCUACCUAUAAGACUGGGAUAACUUCGGGAAACCGGAGCUAAUACCGGAUAAUAUUUUGCACCGCAUGGUUCAAAAGUGAAAGACGGUCUUGCUGUCACUUAUAGAUGGAUCCGCGCUGCAUUAGCUAGUUGUUAAGGUAACGGCUUACCAAGGCAACGAUGCAUAGCCGACCUGAGAGGGGGAUAGGCCACACGGGAGCGGAGACACGGUCCAGACUCCUACGGGAGGCAGCAGUAGGGAAUCUUCCGCAAUGGGCGAAAGCCUGACGGAGCAACGCCGCGUGAGUGAUGAAGGUCUUCGGAUCGUAAAACUCUGUUAUUAGGGAAGAACAUAUGUGUAAGUAACUGUGCACAUCUUGACGGUACCUAAUCAGAAAGCCACGGCUAACUACGUG
rnacentral:rRNA from 1 species